GCCCGGGCUCCUGGGCGGAGCGGCCCCUGCCCAAGGCGAGCGCCUGGGGCGCAGGAGGAGCCUGUUUGCGGUGGAGCGUCAUUGGCCGCCGAGCGGGGGCGUGGAGGCGGGGUCUGCAGCGGGUCCCGGAGGGGCGAGGUACCGGACUUUGGAGAGAGGUCUCAUCUGAACCCGGAAUUGGUCCUGAACCCGAUCCCGAGCCUGUUGCAGGUAGUAAAGCCCUUCCUCCCUCGGCGCCCCGGGGAAAC
rnacentral:lncRNA from 1 species